UCCAGACUCCUACGGGAGGCAGCAGUGAGGAAUAUUGGUCAAUGGGCGGGAGCCUGAACCAGCCAAGUCGCGUGAGGGAAGACGGUCCUAUGGAUUGUAAACCUCUUUAGGCGGGGAGCAAUGCCGGGCACGCGUGCCCGGAGGGAGAGUACCCGCAGAAUAAGCAUCGGCUAACUCCGUGCCAGCAGCCGCGGUAAUACGGAGGAUGCGAGCGUUAUCCGGGUUUAUUGGGUUUAAGGGGUGCGUAGGCGGGCUGUUAGGUCGGCGGUAAAAGCCCGGGGCCCACCCCCGGCGAGCCGUUGAAACUGGCUGUCUUGAGAUGUCGAGAGGUAUGCGGAAUGCGCAGUGUAGCGGUGAAAUGCUUAGAUAUUGCGCAGAACUCCGAUUGCGAAGGCAGCAUACCGGCGGCGAUCUGACGCUGAGGCACGAAAGCGUGGGUAUCGAACAGGAUUAGAUACCCGAGUA
rnacentral:rRNA from 1 species